rnacentral:rRNA from 1 species
AGAUGAUUAGUUGGCGGACGGGUGAGUAACAUUUAGGUAAGUCUACCUAGUAGUGGGGGAGUAGCUCGGGGAAACGUCGAAUUAAUACCGCAUACGACCUACGGGUNAAGGGGGGCGCAAGCUCUUGCUAUUAGAUGAGCCUAAAUCAGAUUAGCUAGUUGGUGGGGUAAAGGCCUACCAAGGCGACGAUCUGUAACUGGUCUGAGAGGAUGAUCAGUCACACCGGAACUGAGACACGGUCCGGACUCCUACGGAAGGCAGCAG